GUGUGGUUUGGAGAGUUCCAGAUGGGGAGCUUCCAGAACUCCAGAAACUCAUUUACUCACUAGAGUACCCAUUUAGUACAAAUGAUAUUAGAUGCUAUCAAUAGCCACAUAAAGAGAUACAUAGGGCAAGGUCCCGACCAAAGGAGCUUCUGCCCCCUUGGAAUUUAGGGCCCAUAACGUGGCAUGUGGAAUGUGUUUUGGUUCAUCCACCAGAAGUGUAGAAGAUAGUCUAAUAGAUAACUGCUCAAGGCAUACCCAUCGUCAGCUUCAAAGUCACGUUCUCAGUCCUGACCCACCAGUGAGCGUCGUGUUAACUCCAAGGAGGAGGAAGAACAUUGAACGGUGGGAAAACAGGUGGAAGGCUCUCUGUUGGCCUGUGCUGGAAUCCUGGUUCUGUGUUUCAGGAAAAGUUUAGGAUGCUUUUAGUGGCUAGUUGAAAUAAAAAUCGGAACACAUGAAAGCGCUCUCAACUCGUCUACCAAUAAGGUUUUUUUAGAGAGAUGCUACUGUGAGAUCCUGGUGCUUCUCCAGAGGGCUCGACAGAGUUCCCGGAGGCAGGUGCACAGCCAGGCCUCUGUGUACCUGAAGAUUUGGUGGGUGGCCUCCCAGAGGAAGUGGAACUGCUCCCCUGUAUCUUCACACUUCGAAAUACUACUUUUUAAGAACAAAAUGGCUAGACUUCCCCAACUUACGAUGAACCAAAAUAGUGCUUUUAGAGCAACAAUUUAUUGAAACCAAAUCCUGGGGUACCAUAUUAAUUUGUACUAUUUUCAAGCCAAAAGAAAGUAUUGGUAUUUAUUUCUAUUAUUUAUUAUUUUAUUAUUAACACGAUC